UGGGGAAUUUUGGACAAUGGGGGAAACCCUGAUCCAGCCAUCCCGCGUGUGCGAUGAAGGCCUUCGGGUUGUAAAGCACUUUUGGCAGGAAAGAAACGUCAUGGGUUAAUACCCCGUGAAACUGACGGUACCUGCAGAAUAAGCACCGGCUAACUACGUGCCAGCAGCCGCGGUAAUACGUAGGGUGCAAGCGUUAAUCGGAAUUACUGGGCGUAAAGCGUGCGCAGGCGGUUCGGAAAGAAAGAUGUGAAAUCCCAGAGCUCAACUUUGGAACUGCAUUUUUAACUACCGGGUUAGAGUGUGUCAGAGGGAGGUGGAAUUCCGCGUGUAGCAGUGAAAUGCGUAGAUAUGCGGAGGAACACCGAUGGCGAAGGCAGCCUCCUGGGAUAACACUGACGCUCAUGCACGAAAGCGUGGGGAGCAAACAGG
rnacentral:rRNA from 1 species